AAAAUUAUCUUCUUUCUUGGGCCCUGAAACCACCAAUGAACCAAAAAUGAGUUAGGCAUAGAAGUGACAGGAAGGGAAACAAUGAAAACCACAGGUAUGAGACACUUAAUCUGGAAGACAAGAGUAGAAUUACAUCAAAGCACACUUGGUUAUCAUGCAACCAGAGUACUUUCCAAUUUCUAGCAUUCUAAACAAAAAUUCACACCGAAGUGGCUAGGUAAGAACCAUGUUUAUAUCAAUCAUUAGACAAAGACACUUGCUCUCCAAAUUGCAAGUAAGCAGAUGAGACAGACUCUUGGGUAGGCAAUAUAUUUUUUGAUGAUUAGGCAUGUGAAAAAGGGAAAAAAGAGAGGAAAUUUAAUUAUCUUGAUAUUUUAUUUGGCAUAGUUCAUAACAAACAAAUCUGAUUUAGUUAGAUUAUUUUAACCACUAUAAGCUAGAAGCCCAGGGUUGGAGUGCCUAUCCUGUGGCAUAGAAUGCAAGGAGCUAAAAAUCUACAUCCCCUAACCCAUGGAAUAUAUGUGCACAUGUGUUCAUGUAUAAGAAACCCAUGCUGUUCAAAUAAUCCAUAUUCCAAUUUUGUUUCAAAAUUUUGAUGAUACAAUUACAGACGCAUUGAUGAGUGUUCAACUGGUCUUCAAUCAUAAUGAAUAGGUUAGGAUAAGUCUAAUUGGCGUUGAAAUAGGUUAGUAUAAGUCUAAUUGGCAUUGAACUUCUUGAUAUUGAACAAAGAUUUGAAAAGUCAAGUUUGAACUUUCAUAUUUCUUUAGUUCAUAAAGAAAAGUCCUAGCCCUUCAUCAAUAAAAAGAACAAAAACACAUUGAUAUAUGAAAAUGCACCACAAAAGAUAUGCAUGUCAUGUCUGAGAGACAAGCUUAAGUUUACCAUUGGUAUUCCUAUAGCCUUG
rnacentral:misc_RNA from 1 species